UCCCGACUAGCUCAGCAGGUUAGAGCGUCACGCUAAUAACGUGAAGGUCAACAGUUCGAUCCUGUUGUUGGGAA